UACGUAGGGGGCAAGCGUUAUCCGGAUUUACUGGGUGUAAAGGGAGCGUAGACGGCCAGACAAGUCUGAAGUGAAAAUCCAGCGCUUAACGUUGGAAGUGCUUUGGAAACUGCCGGGCUAGAGUGCAGGAGGGGCAGGCGGAAUUCCUAGUGUAGCGGUGAAAUGCAUAGAUAUCACGCAGAACUCCGAUUGCGAAGGCAGCGUACCGGCAUCCAACUGACGCUGAGGCACGAAAGCGUGGGGAUCAAACAGG
rnacentral:rRNA from 1 species